AGUCAAGUAAUUAAGUGCAUGUGGUGGAUGCCUUGGCAGUCAGAGGCGAUGAAAGACGUGAUAGCCUGCGAAAAGCUCCGGGGAGGCGGCAAAUAUCCUUUGAUCCGGAGAUGUCUGAAUGGGGGAACCCACCUACUUUAAGGUAGGUAUUGCAACAUGAAUACAUAGUGUUGCAAGGCGAACGAGGGGAAGUGAAACAUCUCAGUACCCUUAGGAAAAGAAAUCAAUUGAGAUUCCCUCAGUAGCGGCGAGCGAACGGGGAUCAGCCCAUUAAGUUAUGUGUGUUUUAGUGGAACGCUCUGGGAAGUGCGAACGUAGAGGGUGAUAUUCCCGUACACGAAAGGGCACACAUAAUGAUGACGAGUAGGGCGAGGCACGUGAAACCUUGUCUGAAUAUGGGGGGACCAUCCUCCAAGGCUAAAUACUCCUGACUGACCGAUAGUGAACCAGUACCGUGAGGGAAAGGCGAAAAGAACCCCUGUGAGGGGAGUGAAAUAGAUCCUGAAACCGCAUGCAUACAAGCAGUGGGAGCACCUUCGUGGUGUGACUGCGUACCUUUUGUAUAAUGGGUCAGCGACUUAUAUUCAGUAGCGAGGUUAACCGUAUAGGGGAGCCGUAGAGAAAUCGAGUCUUAAUAGGGCGUUUAGUUGCUGGGUAUAGACCCGAAACCAGGCGAUCUAUCCAUGAGCAGGUUGAAGGUUGGGUAACACUAACUGGAGGACCGAACCCACUGUCGUUGAAAAGCCAGGGGAUGACUUGUGGAUAGGGGUGAAAGGCUAAUCAAGCCUGGUGAUAGCUGGUUCUCCCCGAAAGCUAUUUAGGUAGCGCCUCGGACGAAUACCAUAGGGGGUAGAGCACUGUUUCGGCUAGGGGGUCAUCCCGACUUACCAAACCGAUGCAAACUCCGAAUACCUAUGAGUACUAUCCGGGAGACAGACUGCGGGUGCUAACGUCCGUAGUCAAGAGGAAAACAAUCCAGACCGCCAGCUAAGGCCCCAAAAUCAUAGUUAAGUGGGAAACGAUGUGGGAAGGCAUAGACAGCUAGGAGGUUGGCUUAGAAGCAGCCACCCUUUAAAGAAAGCGUAAUAGCUCACUAGUCGAGUCGGCCUGCGCGGAAGAUGUAACGGGGCUAAAACUAUGUGCCGAAGCUGCGGAUGUAUACUUUGUAUACGUGGUAGGGGAGCGUUCUGUAAGCCGAUGAAGGUGUGUUGAGAAGCAUGCUGGAGGUAUCAGAAGUGCGAAUGCUGACGUGAGUAACGACAAAACGGGUGAAAAACCCGUUCGCCGAAAGACCAAGGGUUCCAGUCCAACGUUAAUCGGGGCUGGGUGAGUCGACCCCUAAGGCGAGGCCGAAAGGCGUAGUCGAUGGGAAAAUGGUUAAUAUUCCAUUACUUCUGUGUAAUGCGAUGAGAGGACGGAGAAGGCUAAAUCAGCCUGGCGUUGGUUGUCCAGGUGAAAGGAUGUAGGCAUGUAUCUUAGGCAAAUCCGGGGUACUCUAUGCUGAGAUCUGAUAGCAAGCUGUACUUGUACAGCGAAGUGGUUGAUGCCAUGCUUCCAGGAAAAGUCUCUAAGCUUCAGUUACACAGGAAUCGUACCCGAAACCGACACAGGUGGUCAGGUCGAGUAGACCAAGGCGCUUGAGAGAACUCUGCUGAAGGAACUAGGCAAAAUGGUACCGUAACUUCGGGAGAAGGUACGCUGUUGUUGGUGAUGGAACUCGCUUCCUGAGCUGACGACAGCCGCAGAAACCAGGCCGCUGCAACUGUUUAUUAAAAACAUAGCACUCUGCAAACACGAAAGUGGACGUAUAGGGUGUGAUGCCUGCCCGGUGCUGGAAGGUUAAUUGAUGGGGUUAGCGUAAGCGAAGCUCUUGAUCGAAGCCCCAGUAAACGGCGGCCGUAACUAUAACGGUCCUAAGGUAGCGAAAUUCCUUGUCGGGUAAGUUCCGACCUGCACGAAUGGCAUAAUGAUGGCGGCGCUGUCUCCAGCAGAGGCUCAGUGAAAUCGAAAUCGCUGUGAAGAUGCAGUGUACCCGCGGCUAGACGGAAAGACCCCGUGAACCUUUACUGCAGCUUGACACUGAACUUUGACCUUACUUGUGUAGGAUAGGUGGGAGGCUUUGAAGCUGGAACGCUAGUUCCAGUGGAGCCGUCCUUGAAAUACCACCCUGGUAAUGUUGAGGUUCUAACUCUGUCCCGUGAUCCGGGACGAGGACCGUGUCUGGUGGGUAGUUUGACUGGGGCGGUCUCCUCCUAAAGAGUAACGGAGGAGUACGAAGGUGCGCUCAGCGUGGUCGGAAAUCACGCGUAGAGUAUAAAGGCAAAAGCGCGCUUAACUGCGAGACCCACAAGUCGAGCAGGUACGAAAGUAGGUCUUAGUGAUCCGGUGGUUCUGUAUGGAAGGGCCAUCGCUCAACGGAUAAAAGGUACUCUGGGGAUAACAGGCUGAUACCGCCCAAGAGUUCAUAUCGACGGCGGUGUUUGGCACCUCGAUGUCGGCUCAUCUCAUCCUGGGGCUGAAGCAGGUCCCAAAGGGUAUGGCUGUUCGCCAUUUAAAGAGGUACGCGAGCUGGGUUUAGAACGUCGUGAGACAGUUCGGUCCCUAUCUACCGUGGGCGCUGGAAAUUUGAGAGGAUCUGCUCCUAGUACGAGAGGACCAGAGUGGACGAACCUCUGGUGUACCGGUUGUGACGCCAGUCGCAUCGCCGGGUAGCUAUGUUCGGAAGGGAUAACCGCUGAAAGCAUCUAAGCGGGAAGCCUACCUCAAGAUAAGAUUUCCCUAGGACUUUAUGUCCUCUAAAGAGCCGUUCGAGACUAGGACGUUGAUAGGUUGGAUGUGGAAGCAUAGUGAUAUGUGAAGCUGACCAAUACUAAUUGCUCGUGAGGCUUGACUAU
rnacentral:rRNA from 1 species